GGACCUUCGUUCAGCGGUAGAGCAUCUGCUUGGCAUGCAGAAGGUCCUGGGUUCAAUUUCUGACAGGAUCUCCA